rnacentral:rRNA from 1 species
AUCCAAUUAACUAUAAUUUCUAACCAAAACAUUCUUAUUUUAGUAUGGGCGACAGAACAAUAACUUCAGCGCAAUAGCUUAUGUACCGCAAGGGAAAGCUGAAAAAGAAAUGAAAUAAACCAUUAAAGUACUAAAAAGCAGAAAUUACACCUCGUACCUUUUGCAUCAUGAUUUAGCUAGAAAAAUUAGGCAAAAAGAUUUUAAGUCUACCCUCCCGAAACUAAACGAGCUACUCCGAAGCAGCAUUAUAGAGCCAACCCGUCUCUGUGGCAAAAGAGUGGGUGAAAAGCCUACCGAGUUUAGUGAUAGCUGGUUACCCAAAAAAAGAACUUCAAUUCUGCAUUAAUUUUUUUAUCUAAACAAGACUUUCUCGUCAAAAAACCCAUAAGAAUUAAUAGUUAUUUAGAAGAGGUACAGCCCUUCUGAACCAAGAUACAACUUUUUAAGAUGGGAAAUGAUCACAAUCAUCAAGGUUAUUCCCUCAGUGGGCCUAAAAGCAGCCACCUGUAAAGCAAGCGUCGUAGCUCUAGCAACCCUUAAUUUUGAUACCUAUUCAUUACCCUCUUAUUUUAUAAAAAAGAACUUAUGCUAAAAUGAGUAAUAAGAGAACAAAUCUCUCCCGACACAAGUGUACAUCAGAAGAAUUAAAUCACUGAUAAUUAAACGGCCCCAAACUGAGGCCAUCAACUAGAAAACCCUAUUCUUC